rfam:Myotis davidii contig316568, whole genome shotgun sequence.
GGCAGUUCUUGGGUGAUGCACCUGGAAUUGGGCUCUCUCCUCUGUGGUUCCAUGUGUGUCACCCAAGAACCGCA